CACAUAUUGUCUAAUAUGUAGUGACAGUAAAAGUUGCUGAUAAGUCAAACUAGAUUACUCGACAGCUCCACCAAUAACUGAUUAUGAAAACUUCUUACUAAGUCAUAUUAAACAACAAAGAUCAGCCAUAUUCGAUUAUACAAACAUUUUGGACAUAUAGUCUUCAGCAUCGGCAGCAUUAGUUACAAUAUAAUAGCAACGACAUGGCUACUUCGAAAAUUAUAUUCUUUGUGUUAAUUGCAAUUUCUUUAUUAGCUUUAAUUCAAGCCAAUGCUAUCCUGAACAACAAUGAUGAAGUAAUUCAGUUUCGUCACUCCAGAUCUUUGAUUAAAACUUUCAGAUGUGAGAAAGGUUAUAUUGCUGAUAUAUUUUGCUCAUCCUUUUGCGAAUCAAUAGAAGAUGGAAUGACCGGUGAAUGUAUAAAUGGAAGAUGUGAAUGCAGAUAAGGAGUUUCUAUAGCUUUGAUUGCAAAAUUUGACUUUUUUUUUUCAAAUUUAGCUACUUCAUAAAUUAAAAUAAUAAAAUUUAUCGUGUUUUUAUUUUUAAA